rnacentral:tRNA from 1 species
GGCAGUGUAGUGUAAUGGGUAAGGUGCUGGUCUUGUAACCUAAAGGUCGCAGGUUCGAUUCCUGGGUGAGGAACUGCCG